GACGAACGCUGGCGGCGUGCUUAACACAUGCAAGUCGAACGGAAAGGCCCUGCUUUUGUGGGGUGCUCGAGUGGCGAACGGGUGAGUAACACGUGAGUAACCUGCCCUUGACUUUGGGAUAACUUCAGGAAACUGGGGCUAAUACCGGAUAGGAGCUCCUGCUGCAUGGUGGGGGUUGGAAAGUUUCGGCGGUUGGGGAUGGACUCGCGGCUUAUCAGCUUGUUGGUGGGGUAGUGGCUUACCAAGGCUUUGACGGGUAGCCGGCCUGAGGGGGUGACCGGCCCCAGUGGGCAUGGCGCCCCGCCCCGCCCCCCUCGGGGGGGCAGAGGUGGGGAAUUUUCCAAAGUGGGCGGAGGCCUGAUCAGCCACCGCCGGGUGGGGAAGGCGGGCUUCGGGGUUUAAACCCGUUUCCGCGGGUAACGAGGGGGGGGUGCCGGUAAGGGGAAAAGAGCCCCCGGCUCCCUCC
rnacentral:rRNA from 1 species